GAAUUAGCUCAGCUGGUUAGAGCGCCAGGUUGUGGCCCUGGAGGUCGUGGGUUCGAACCCCAUAUU
rnacentral:tRNA from 1 species